AACGAACGCUGGCGGCAUGCCUAACACAUGCAAGUCGAACGAGACCUUCGGGUCUAGUGGCGCACGGGUGCGUAACGCGUGGGAACCUGCCCUUAGGUUCGGAAUAACUCCCCGAAAGGGGUGCCAAUACCGGAUAAUGUCUUCGGACCAAAGAUUUAUCGCCUUUGGAUGGGCCUGCGUUGGAUUAGCUAGUUGGUAGGGUAAAAGCCUACCAAGGCGACGAUCCAUAGCUGGUCUGAGAGGAUGAUCAGCCACACUGGGACUGAGACACGGCCCAGACUCCUACGGGAGGCAGCAGUGGGGAAUAUUGGACAAUGGGCGAAAGCCUGAUCCAGCAAUGCCGCGUGAGUGAUGAAGGCCUUAGGGUUGUAAAGCUCUUUUACCCGGGAUGAUAAUGACAGUACCGGGAGAAUAAGCUCCGGCUAACUCCGUG
rnacentral:rRNA from 1 species